UUCAUACUUGCUUUCUGGCUCCAUUGUUCAACUGCAAUUCCAGAGUUCAAAUUUCAUAACCUAUUUUCAAACUAUUUCUUUCACAUUGUUUUCCCCUUCUGAUUUGGCUUCACACAACUCGGAUAUGAGAUUUCAAGGAUUUCAAUUUUCAAGCAAGAAAAUUGUUGCUAAAGAUACAGAAAUCUCCAAGUUCAACAUGUUUUUCCUGAUCCGGUAAGAUUUCUUUUCAAGGUAUAAUUUCUUUUCUUUUAGGAUGCUUAAAAUAUGCAUUAAUUGUGUUAUAUAUCUCCUUCUUCCCCCUUCUUUUUUAGGGUUCUGUAUGGUACGUCAGUACGCCACUUUUCAGGAUCUGGAUUGCAAACAAACUAUUAUCUGGUACGAGGGAUCUGGAUUGUGGUCAGAUGGGGGUUGGGAGAAUUUGGCAACAAUGGGGAGGACAAGGAGUCCUCCCUAAGAGGCACAAAAGGAAAACAAAUAGCACUUUAACAAUUCCAAUCUCUACACAAUUCUGAUAUGGCUAUUCCCCAGAUAUCUCCCAUGGAAGAAGCCCACAACGAAGAAAUGAUAAAACUCUAUCCCUCAAUAAAUGGAAUGGCANNN
rnacentral:lncRNA from 1 species